rnacentral:rRNA from 1 species
UGCAAGUCGAACGAUGACCCCGUGCUUGCACGGGUGAUUAGUGGCGAACGGGUGAGUAACACGUGAGUAACCUGCCCCUGACUCUGGGAUAAGCCCGGGAAACUGGGUCUAAUACUGGAUAUGACCUUUAACCGCAUGGUUUUUGGUGGAAAGAUUUAUCGGUUGGGGAUGGACUCGCGGCCUAUCAGCUUGUUGGUGAGGUAAUGGCUCACCAAGGCGACGACGGGUAGCCGGCCUGAGAGGGUGACCGGCCACACUGGGACUGAGACACGGCCCAGACUCCUACGGGAGGCAGCAGUGGGGAAUAUUGCACAAUGGGCGAAAGCCUGAUGCAGCGACGCCGCGUGAGGGAUGACGGCCUUCGGGUUGUAAACCUCUUUCAGUAGGGAAGAAGCGAAAGUGACGGUACCUGCAGAAGAAGCGCCGGCUAACUACGUGCCAGCAGCCGCGGUAAUACGUAGGGCGCAAGCGUUAUCCGGAUUUAUUGGGCGUAAAGAGCUCGUAGGCGGUUUGUCGCGUCUGCCGUGAAAGUCCGAGGCUCAACCUCGGAUCUGCGGUGGGUACGGGCAGACUAGAGUGAUGUAGGGGAGACUGGAAUUCCUGGUGUAGCGGUGAAAUGCGCAGAUAUCAGGAGGAACACCGAUGGCGAAGGCAGGUCUCUGGGCAUCUACUGACGCUGAGGAGCGAAAGCAUGGGGAGCGAACAGGAUUAGAUACCCUGGUAGUCCAUGCCGUAAACGUUGGGCACUAGGUGUGGGGAACAUUCCACGUUUUCCGCGCCGUAGCUAACGCAUUAAGUGUCCCGCCUGGGGAGUACGGCCGCAAGGCUAAAACUCAAGGAAUUGACGGGG